UGAAGUUUUAUAAAAAGGAAAAGGGGUGAAAAGAACAAAGUUUUGUCCAUCUUUGUUCAUCAUAGCUGAAAGUUAGAGAAGAGAAAGGAGAGGAGAAAGCUCUUGAGUAUUCGGUCAUUAGGAGGAGGAAAAUUGAAGGAAAUCCCCAACCGUAGUGAGCUUGGAGCUGUGAGGGAAUUCGGAGUGGCCACCCGUUCUGAAAGUUUGAUUUUCUUCUGGUGAACUGGACAUCCUUUUAAUUACGUUUGAGGUUUUGGGCUUUUAAAUGUAAUAAGGCCGCUUAUUUAUUUUUGAUGUUUUUAAUAUGUAUUACUAA